AGAGAGAGCCAGCUUGUGCUGCCUUACAGAGACGUGUGUCCCCAGCACAGUGCUUUAGAAACAAGCAGCACUCUUUUGAACCGCUGCCAAUGGAGGCUGGCCCAAGCUGUUGCAGCUGAAACUUUUACAAGCUCACUGCUCGCAAGCAGGAAGAGAGAGACACAGAGAAAUAUUUGUAAAGGGAAUCUGCAUGCGCAGCUCCUCUAUUCUCCAGUUCUUGUCUGCGCUCGUUCCUGAAAUAUUGGCAAGCUUAUUUCUUUGUUGAUCAUUGUUAGUGUUUAUUAAAAGGGGAAUUCUUAUAAGGAAACAGAACUAUUUUUUGGGAGGAGUGUGCAUGAAGGUUGAAAUGCAAGGUACAUUUGAAGGACAGAAAUAAAUGAGAAAAUAACAAAAGAAUAGAUGACGUCACAGAGAGAGCUGCCCGGGAUUAUGCCUGAGAAAAGAUGAUGAUGACAGUUUUUGACUGCAGCACUUGUCUAUGUGACAUACGUGUCUAUGUCUCUCUCUCUCUCUCUCUCUCUCUCUCUCUCUCUCUCUCUCUCUCUCUCUGGUGGACAGACGGAGGCGGAAGGGGGUGAAAUACACUUUUUGGCACAGUGACUGGAUUAUUUUGGUGACUUUAACUUAUUUUGGCACAGAGUCCUGCGGAACUCUGUCAUUCGGGUUUAUCUUACUACUACCGUCUGUUUCCAGAAGUUGACCCUUUCCUCACCCUCUGUUUUGCUUUUUCGCAGCACAGCUUGUUGCUGGGGUAUCAUUCCUGCAAACCACAUUUAACGUACACAUACAGAAACGCCCAUCUGUAACGUUGACAAAAAAGGACACUUUUUUUAACUCACAGGUUGCUUUCUUUCUUUUCUUUUCUUUCAUCUCAUUGCGACCGGGCAAUUUUACCAUCUUAUCUGAAAGCGUGAAAGCGGUUCAAAUCAAAACAAAAAACACAGGCAGGUGCAGAACAGCUAAAGACGUCUGUAAUGACUACUGGAAAUGGGAACCGUGAGGCAUGUACUACCUGGGACUGAUGCCAACUGCUGACAAAAGGCUUCACUGCACGCUCUGAGAGAAGUCUUUAACUCGUUCUUUCUUCCCCCCCAAAUGCAUCAGAAAUCUACGGGAUUGAGUUGUUUUGAUGUCAUAAGUCUGGCAACACUUUUUGCCAACCGAUCUGGGCCAAAGUGGGCAGGGAGAGAGGAGGGCACGGCCGAGACUGCUCUCAAGCCCCAGCCCUUGUUCGAGUGGGGUUGCUCGCCAGCACGCUGCUCAGCCUUUCCCUCAUCUUGCAGACGAAAGAGAGGGACGUGGAAAUGCGCUCUCCUCUCUUUUCUUCCCCGCCCUUUUUUCACCACCACCAUGGCCUGUUCACUUCGGGUCAUCUCUGCGGAGAUCCCUGCUCUGUCCUUUACAAAAUCUACUUCCAGUUCCCUAGUAAGAACUGCUAAACCUCAUCUCUGGGUCGACGCCAGACUAAGCACCUGUCCUUGAGGCUGAGGUAGUAGAUUGAAUAGUUGUGGGGUAUAUGUCCUCCCUCUGAGAUAACUAUACAAUCUACUGUCUUUCCUAAAAGAGACAGACUGAUCGUCAAUAACCCUGAAGAGUGACCGUUCUCCCCUGACCGUCGCACCCAUCUUCCCAGCCUGGACACCUGCCUGCAGCCUGUCUCUGCUCUGUGGGGAAGUUACCCCAUUAUAGCAUAUCACCUCCAUUUACACCCAUUCACAGACUGUUGCAGGACAAAAUGAGAACGGGUAACAUUUCCUUUGUUAGACCACCCAAUGCUUUAUUUGGGUUAUUGGGGCCUGUUGUGUUUGAGUGAAAGUGUACUUUAGGGUGAGUGUGUUUGUGUUGUCGCCUCUCGCUGUAUCUGUUUGAGUGUGUCUGAAUGACAUUCCCCCUUCAUCCGUCAGUCUUUCAGUCGAAUGUGUCCUGGCGAGGUGAGGUAGUAGGUUGUAUAGUUUGUGGGAGGGAUUUAAUCCUAUUCAGGUGAUAACUAUACAGUCUAUUGCCUUCCUUGAGAGGCACAAUGACAGUCUGCAGCAACGAGGAAGUCCACUGCUCUCUGAAUUCCUCAAUGCGUUGGAUGCAAUCUCACUAUGAUAAAGCAACAGCUGGAGCACAAAUGGGUUUAUAGCCUCUCCGGCGCCACUUGGUGGCCAAGGAGCAGCAGGACUCCAGAGACCUUCUUGUAGGUUCAGGAUUCAGAGCUUCUCAAGAAUGAAAGGAUAUGAAAAGCACUCAACAGAGAAUGCAUCAGUGUUACAAAAUCUAAACAAUAUAAAGGGUUGGUUCUCCCGAACCAAAUCAAGCCCUAAAUAAAUGCGUAUAGGCUUGUGAUGUGUUUUAUGGUAACAUUAUUCAAUGUUGUAUUAAUUAAUAAAGGUUACAUAUAGCUAUUAAACUUG